AGAGUUUGAUCCUGGCUCAGGACGAACGCCUUUGGCGUGCCUAAUACAUGCAAGUCGAGCGAGCUUGCCUAGAUGAUUUUAGUGCUUGCACUAAAUGAAACUAGAUACAAGCGAGCGGCGGACGGGUGAGUAACACGUGGGUAACCUGCCCAAGAGACUGGGAUAACACCUGGAAACAGAUGCUAAUACCGGAUAACAACACUAGACGCAUGUCUAGAGUUUGAAAGAUGGUUCUGCUAUCACUCUUGGAUGGACCUGCGGUGCAUUAGCUAGUUGGUAAGGUAACGGCUUACCAAGGCAAUGAUGCAUAGCCGAGUUGAGAGACUGAUCGGCCACAUUGGGACUGAGACACGGCCCAAACUCCUACGGGAGGCAGCAGUAGGGAAUCUUCCACAAUGGACGAAAGUCUGAUGGAGCAACGCCGCGUGAGUGAAGAAGGGUUUCGGCUCGUAAAGCUCUGUUGGUAGUGAAGAAAGAUAGAGGUAGUAACUGGCCUUUAUUUGACGGUAAUUACUUAGAAAGUCACGGCUAACUACGUGCCAGCAGCCGCGGUAAUACGUAGGUGGCAAGCGUUGUCCGGAUUUAUUGGGCGUAAAGCGAGUGCAGGCGGUUCAAUAAGUCUGAUGUGAAAGCCUUCGGCUCAACCGGAGAAUUGCAUCAGAAACUGUUGAACUUGAGUGCAGAAGAGGAGAGUGGAACUCCACGUGUAGCGGUGGAAUGCGUAGAUAUAUGGAAGAACACCAGUGGCGAAGGCGGCUCUCUGGUCUGCAACUGACGCUGAGGCUCGAAAGCAUGGGUAGCGAACAGGAUUAGAUACCCUGGUAGUCCAUGCCGUAAACGAUGAGUGCUAAGUGUUGGGAGGUUUCCGCCUAUCAGUGAGGCAGCUAAUGCACUAUGCUCUCCGCCAUGGGGAGAACGACAGCUAGCUUGAAACUCAAAGGAAUUGCAGGGGGCCGGCUCAAGCGGUGGAGCAUGUGGUUCAAUUGGAAGCAACGCGAAGAACCUUAACAGGUCUUGACAUCCAGUGCACACCUAAGAGAUCAGUUGUUCCAUUCGGGGACGAUGACACAGGUGGUGCAUGGCUGUAGUUAGCUGGUGUCAUGAGAUGCUUGGGUUAAGUCCCGCACCGAGCGCAACCCUUGUCCUAGUUGCCAUCAUCCAGUUGGUCACUCUAAUGAGUCUGCCGGUGACAAACCGGAGGAAGGUGGGGAUGAGGUCACGUCAUCAUGCCCCUCAUGACCUG
rnacentral:rRNA from 1 species